rnacentral:rRNA from 1 species
UACAGAGGGUGCGAGCGUUAAUCGGAUUUACUGGGCGUAAAGCGCGCGUAGGUGGCUAAUUAAGUCAAAUGUGAAAUCCCCGAGCUUAACUUGGGAAUUGCAUUCGAUACUGGUUAGCUAGAGUAUGGGAGAGGAUGGUAGAAUUCCAGGUGUAGCGGUGAAAUGCGUAGAGAUCUGGAGGAAUACCGAUGGCGAAGGCAGCCAUCUGGCCUAAUACUGACACUGAGGUGCGAAAGCAUGGGGAGCAAACAGG